rnacentral:rRNA from 1 species
GUAGGUGGCAAGCGUUGUCCGGAAUUAUUGGGCGUAAAGCGCGCGCAGGCGGUCCUUUAAGUCUGAUGUGAAAGCCCACGGCUCAACCGUGGAGGGUCAUUGGAAACUGGGGGACUUGAGUACAGAAGAGGAAAGCGGAAUUCCAAGUGUAGCGGUGAAAUGCGUAGAGAUUUGGAGGAACACCAGUGGCGAAGGCGGCUUUCUGGUCUGUAACUGACGCUGAGGCGCGAAAGCGUGGGGAGCAGACAGGGAUUAGAUACCCUGGUAGUCCACGCCGUAAACGAUGAGUGCUAAGUGUUAGGGGGUUUCCGCCCCCUUAGUGCUGCAGCUAACGCAUUAAGCACUCCGCCUGGGGAUACGGCCGCAAGGCUG